rnacentral:lncRNA from 1 species
AUGUGGACUUAGUACCCCAUACUAUGUUUGCUGCAACAACAAAAAAAGUUAAUUUUUUUCAGAGUGCUCUUUAUAUUUGGGAUAGAGUCUUAAAAUAAAUUGAUAAGGCCUUGAAAAAUUCUGCUGUAUUUUGUCAUAUCUUCCUCUACCACAGUGUUCUCAGGUGAAGAUAGUAUUUCUGUGUUACGCCACCCCUCAGCUGCCACUAGACCAUGCAGGAAAGAUCAACAGAAGAUGUUUUUGCCGGAGUCUAGAUUGGCUGCAGUGAGAAUUAAUGUAUGGACAUUGGUUAUCCUCUACACCUGGCACCUGUGGAACCAGAAUUUUCUGUUCAGUAGGACCUUAAAAUUUUUAUGCCCUUGUUGAAUUUACAGUUCAUCCCUAGAGGAAAUGUAAUGCACAUUAGGGGGGAAAAAAAGGAGGAAUUUGCUAAAAAUAGAAUGUUCCUCUUUAAAACUGUAAGAAACUCAGUCGUGAAAAUCAUCUUAAAGGGAUCAAAUUUUAAGAGGUUUCAGUGUCUUACAGAGAGAAUGGAUUGCAUGAUGAAAUGCUUUACACGGUUUUAAGAAUCCUGACUUGAGAGACAUUUUAGAUCGUUUUGUAAUACAUUCAUUGAGCUUUUCCGAUAGUAAUAAUUUUUAUGUGUGCUAAAAAAGGGGAUUUAGGGUCAGCUGGGGCAAUAAGAGAACCAGGGAAUAAAUGAAGAAGAAAACUGAAGUAUGAGAAACAGCUGGAAUGUGCAUUAUGCUGAAAGAGCUCUUUAAUGGAAUCAUUUGGCAAGGACUACAAACCUCCCAAGAGGGAGAAAACAGUUUGACUAGGUAUAGAAUAUAUACAGCUCAUCUCUCUCCAGUCUAGUUAGACUGUUGGCCAUGUAUAUCCAUAUAGGUGAUAUAAAAUUAGGUGUAUCCCUAUGGAUAAGAAGAGACUCAAUUAUAGUUUUGUUUAUACAGUAAUUUAUUUAAUUUUUUUAUAUAAGGGAAGGAUAUAUUUAUGAAUGUAUAUAAAUUGCAUUAUAACUGUCUUUCUAGAAUAUUUUGACAUUUAUAUUAAAUUUGUUUAAUCUGUAAUUUCUAAUUUAUUUCUACAAACCAAACAAAACUAUGAAAUAAUAUAUGAUAUGUGAAUAACGCCGUCUCAUGCAAGAUUUAGUAAAUGUAAUCUGUAAUCUUACUAAAAUAGCAGCAAGAGGGAAAAAGAGGGAGAGUGGAGAGCAAAUGAGGAAGUCUUUCAUGACAGUGUUCCACUUGGUUUUUAAAUAUUGAUCUUAAGAAUUUUUAAGUUCUCUAUAUUGCUAUUCUUUUGUUAGUAAUUACUUGGGUAUUUGAUAUAGCUAGUAUUUGCCUUAGAACUUUGUAAUUCAUAAUGCUAUAUCCUCUAUUUUUUUCCUUAAUUACAUAAAUUUAUGUAGGGUUACAGAGAUAUCUAGACAUGCAAUUUAUAGGAGUCAGAAAAAUAUAGUCAAUAAAUCCCUAGGGAAUAAGUAUCUAUUUGAUUCUUUUGAGAACACGAGUACAGGGACAAAAUUUACUAUAUAAGUAUAAUAUAUACUGUGCCCAAUACCUAAUACAAUAUAUGGUGUCUAGAAUACACCCCAAAUACAUGUUUUUUUUUCAAAGAGAUGAAAGAAUGGGUUCAAAGGUAUUCAUUUUAUUAACUCACUCUCUUGAGUUUACCAUAUUACUGCUUCACUCUGAGACUCACAUCUCUUCCCAUGCUCUGAACAGGAAGUUAAAAAAAUUAUCUGGAAGGUUUUUUUUUUGGAGUCAUCAAAUGAAUGUGUAAAUGUCAGCAUAAUAAUAGGAAAAGCUUUUAUAAUGAGAGCUGCUGUCAAAAUUUUUGAGUGAUUAUCCUUAUGUGACCCACCAGCCCUCCAAGCUAAUUUUCAAAAGGAAUGGGUAUCAACCCUCAGUAGAUUUUGCUUUAGCAGUACUGAGAGUUGGCUUUCAUGAAUGAAAAGAGACCUUGUUCUUAAUAUGACCUUUUUUGCCCACAGUCUUUAUUUAUCUAGCGCUGUUUCAAAGUUGCAUCUUUGUUGAGUUGCUGCUGGCUGUAGUCUUAGAAUCUUCUAUUAAGUCAAAGGAGCUCCCACAGUAAAAAGUGCUAUUUCUUCAGGAUUACACAAUUAAAAUACUUCAGCUGGUUGGUGUCAUCAGCCAAGCCCCUUUAACAGCUGCCAUUCAGGAAUCCAUUUUCUGCAAAUGGAAAAUGUGGAACUUCAAAAAUAAUACAGCCUUUAUUAUUUGUAUUAAAUUAAGCUCUGGUGGGAAACAAUAGUUGUAGAUUCCUCCCCUUCAAUGGCCAGUUUUAAGCAUUUUGUAGCAUACAACCUCAUCAAAUAGUCUUCCUGACAAAGUCCAAUUUUGCUGCCUCAGGGUAAAUGCUCAAUUUCUUAACAUUAACUUAGACAGUUGCAGUUUCCCAUCUAAAUAAUUAGUAUCUAUAUGAAACUUAAGUUAUAAACAAAGUUUAAAAAUAAAUAAUAAAUGAAUCUCUUAAGUCAAUAACAUUGAUCUAGCACUCUCCUAAAAUCAAAUUGUGAAACAGCAAUUUCUUUUGAUUGGAAUUAUAGCAUCCUGCUAGAAAACAUGAUUGACAUUUUAUUUUUUGGCCAGUUAUUGAAUACAAAACUAAUUUCAAGUUUCUGAGUACUUCCUAGAUAUGCUUUAGAUGUAUUAAAGACUAUACAAAAUGCAUACCCAUUUAUGCAUUCCAGCAAGUACACAAGAUGAAUGUGCAAACAUGUGUAAAUGUAUAUCCUUAAAAUGCUAUAGCUGCAUUUCAUGAGGAUAGAAACUCUAAAAUGUCCUUUUGAAAAAUAAUGCUUUUCAACUUUGGAAAGACUGAACAAUUCCUUAGAUAAGAGAAGGUGAGGACUUAUUUUCUGUGCCUGUCAUCUAUAGUCAAAAUACCCUUAGAUUCCAUUUAAAAUAACAUAAUAAUGGUCAUUCUUUUCCUGUUUUUGUUUCAGUUGAAGGCAGCAUCAAGAAGCUGCUACUUUGUAGAAUGGUUUUCUAUACAAAAGGAUAUUAAAAUUUGGUCUGGAGUUACUUUCCUAGAUCUGAUACAGUUCGUCCUCUUAGUAUCCUGGAUCUUUCUUUUUAUAAAUUUGCUGAGGUUUGUGACAGCAAGAAUGUGUUUAUUAGCAUUCAAAUGGAGCUUUAUGUGUUUGUUACCAAGACAGCUUCUGAGAUUUAUAACUAUGAAGACAUCUUGCCUGUUAUCAGCCUUGAUUAACAUACCUGCAAGAAUAACCCCUAGCACGGCUGGGCCUCAAAUAUGAUUGGUGGCAGACGAUCAGUAAAGAAGUUUUCUGAAGGACACUCUGAAAACCGUGUACUACGGGAAAGCUUAAGGGGGAACUUUAGUCACCAUGAGUGUCUUGGAGCUCACUUCAACUCUUCUCACAAGUCUUAGGAAUAUGUAAAUUGGUACAAUCUCUCCAGCCUUGGGUGGACCCAAGCACCCUAUGACUCUCCACCAUUUCAGCUCCCUGUAAGCCAUGGUCCAAGGUCUUCUAGUAACCUUUUUGUCUAUUUGUUUUUCCUCUUUCCCUUCUAGGCUCCUCCAUGCCUAUAUGUAAGUAAGGACAUUAUCUUUUAUUCCCUCUACUUAAAAAAAUCAUCUGUUUCUCAAAUCUGUGAAAUCAGGAGAAAUAAUUAAAGUAUUUAGCAAAUUCUGCAGACUCUUUUUUGCCCCCAAAACAGCUCCUGGCUGUUAUCAUCUCACGGUUACCACCUUGUUCUUUUUAUGACUCUCCUCUGGUUCUCAUUUUCUUUUAAGGUCUCACUUAACCUCUGAGCUCCGAUUUACAUGCCCAUUACUACCCUAGUCACAGGUGCUCUGUCUUUCUUCUAGACUCCUAAAGCCUUUAUUAUCCAUAGCUAUAAAUAGUUGUUGUUAUUUACUAUCUUAAAUUAUUCAUGAACACAUCUUAUCUUUCUUACUAAAUUGAAACAUCUCUGAGGGAAGGAAAUAUGCCAGAUGAAUUAUCUCUCCUUAUAUAGCAUAGGACACAGUGACUCUCACAGAGUCAGUGCAACUGUUUUUGAAAGGUUGGCUGUUGAAAUGCACCUUCGCAAUAUAUUUGAUUGUUUCAUUUGCUUAAGUUUUGGUUCUCUAGUUCUGUGACAAGUUCUGGCAGUGCAGGAAUCAGGUCUAUCUCUGGCAAAGGUAGAAAGUGAGCUUACUUGGUAUUCAGUAGCACUUCUUUAUUUUCACUCUUCCUAUGCUCAAUGUCUUAAUGAUUUUCAUGCCAGUAAGAUCUGUUCCCACAGGAGAUUUGUUGGCAGUACUUGCAUUUUCACUUGUAUGUUAUUGUGACAAGUUGUCUUGAUUUUUUUCAUCAUUUUAGGUUCAGAGGUUUAUCAUUUUAUUCCUUUUUUUUUUUUGGAAAGUAUUUUAUGUUUGCUAAGAAUGCAAGCUAUAAAAUCAGAUUUUUUUUUUCUGUUAGAAUUAAGUAUUUGAUAACUACCAGUGGCAUUUAGCAAGUCAUUUUAGUUAUUUCUAUAUUUGCAUAAUUAUCAUUAAAAUGUAGCAAGUGAAAGUAUAGCUGCUAUGAGUGCUAAAUAACAAAAUGUGAGUAAAGUGCUUAGCCUAGGGUCUAACCUAUAAUAAGCACCCAAUAAAAUUUAGUUAAUGACUAUUGAUAAAGUUAGUAGGUGCACAUUCUGAGAAAAUAAUAGUGAUAGCAUGGCUUCUCAAUCUCCCUGGACCCCUACUUAAAGGCAAAUAGAUAGUAAAGCCAGCAACCACAGGCAACAUUUGCAACAAAUCUAGAUGAUAAGGUAUCCCAAUGUAUUCUGAAAUACAAGAGUGUGGAAAAAUCACCAGUAGCUACCUGAUGUACAUAUUGAUGGUGGAGGAAAAAGAAAACCAGUUACCACCAGGUGGUAACUGACUGUUCUGACAAUAGGAGAAUUUGAAGACAACUAAUAUAUGUUUAUUAGACAUCACAGCAGACUUAUAAGGGAAGAGUCUUGUAUGUAACAAGUACAUACAAGAGGCAAGGAGUAAAAAAUCUAAAGGUACUGGAGCAGUUUUACCUAUGCACUC